rnacentral:rRNA from 1 species
ACACGUAGGGGGCAAGCGUUGUCCGGAAUUAUUGGGCGUAAAGGGCGUGUAGGCGGUUAAUUAAGUCAGGUGUGAAAGCCCGGGGCUCAACCCCGUGAUUGCACCUGAAACUGGUUAACUUGAGGGCAAGAGAGGAAAGUGGAAUUCCUAGUGUAGCGGUGAAAUGCGUAGAUAUUAGGAGGAACACCAGUGGCGAAGGCGACUUUCUGGCUUGACCCUGACGCUGAGGCGCGAAAGCGUGGGGAGCAAACAGGAUUAGAUACCCUGGUAGUCCACGCCGUAAACGAUGGGUACUAGGUGUAGGAGGUAUCGACCCCUUCUGUGCCGUAGCAAACGCAUUAAGUACCCCGCCUGGGGAGUACGUUCGCAAGAAUGAA